GUUGGCAAUUUGACCUGGGCUGGUCCCUCCCUAAAUGAUACGGAACCUCUUCUAUAGUCUCUCUGUUCCGGUGGUAAACGUUCUUCGAUUGGUAAGGCAGAAUAGUUCUCGAUUGGAAAACAUACCAGUCGAGCAAGGAUGAAAAUCGGACUUAGUGAUCCGGUGGUUCUUCGUGGAAGGGCCAUCGCUCAACGGAGAAAAGCUACCCUGGGGAUUACAGGCUUAUCCCCCCCAAGAGUCCACAUCGACGGGGAGGUUUGGCACCUCGAUGUCGGCUCAUCACAUCCUGGGGCUGUAGUAGGUCCCAAGGUUGGGCUGUUCGCUCAUUAAAGUGGUACGCGAGCUGGGUUCAUAACUUCGUGAAACAUUUCGGCCUCUAUCAGUCUCAGGCGACGGAAAUUUUAUACUCGCCGUCAUUAGU
rnacentral:rRNA from 1 species